GACGAACGCUGGCGGCGUGCUUAACACAUGCAAGUCGAACGGAAAGGCCCUGCUUUUGUGGGGUGCUCGAGUGGCGAACGGGUGAGUAACACGUGAGUAACCUGCCCUUGACUUUGGGAUAACUUCAGGAAACUGGGGCUAAUACCGGAUAGGAGCUCCUGCUGCAUGGUGGGGGUUGGAAAGUUUCGGCGGUUGGGGAUGGACUCGCGGCUUAUCAGCUUGUUGGUGGGGUAGUGGCUUACCAAGGCUUUGACGGGUAGCCGGCCUGAGAGGGUGACCGGCCACAUUGGGACUGAGAUACGGCCCAGACUCCUGCGGGAGGCAGCAGUGGGGGAUAUUGCACAAUGGGCGGAAGCCUGAUGCAGCAACGCCGCGUGCGGGAUGACGGCCUUCGGGUUGUAAACCGCUUUCGCCUGUGACGAAGCGUGAGUGACGGUAAUGGGUAAAGAAGCACCGGCUAACUACGUG
rnacentral:rRNA from 1 species